rnacentral:rRNA from 1 species
UNGGAAUUACUGGGCGUAAAGCGAGCGCAGACGGUUACUUAAGCAGGAUGUGAANUCCCCGGGCUCAACCUGGGAACUGCGUUNUGAACUGGGUAGCUAGAGUAUGUCAGAGGGGGGUAGAAUUCCACGUGUAGCAGUGAAAUGCGUAGAGAUGUGGAGGAAUACCGAUGGCGAAGGCAGCCCCCUGGGAUAAUACUGACGUUCAUGCUCGAAAGCGUGGGUAGCAAACAGGAUUAGAUACCCUGGUAGUCCACGCCCUAAACGAUGUCGAUUAGCUGUUGGGCAACUUGAUUGCUUAGUAGCGUAGCUAACGCGUGAAAUCGACCGCCUGGGGAGUACGGUCGCAAGAUUAAAACUCAAAGGAAUUGACGGGGACCCGCACAAGCGGUGGAUGAUGUGGAUUAAUUCGAUGCAACGCGAAGAACCUUACCUGGUCUUGACAUGUACGGAAGAACUCAGAGACGAGUUUGUGCCUUCGGGAGCCGUAACACAGGUGCUGCAUGGCUGUCGUCAGCUCGUGUCGUGAGAUGUUGGGUUAAGUCCCGCAACGAGCGCAACCCUUGUCAUUAGUUGCCAUCAUUUAGUCGGGCACUCUAAUGAGACUGCCGGUGACAAACCGGAGGAAGGUGGGGAUGACGUCAAGUCCUCAUGGCCCUUAUGACCAGGGCUUCACACGUCAUACAAUGGUCGGUACAGAGGGUAGCCAAGCCGCGAGGUGGAGCCAAUCCCAGAAAACCGAUCGUAGUCCGGAUUGCACUCUGCAACUCGAGUGCAUGAAGUCGGAAUCGCUAGUAAUCGCAGGUCAGCAUACUGCGGUGAAUACGUUCCCGGGUCUUGUACACACCGCCCGUCACACCAUGGGAGUGGGGGAUACCAGAAGUAGGUAGGGUAACCGCAAGGAG